CAGUCGCCACGGGAAUACGUAGGUGGCAAGCGUUGUCCGGAAUUAUUGGGCGUAAAGGGCUCGCAGGCGGUUUCUUAAGUCUGAUGUGAAAGCCCCCGGCUCAACCGGGGAGGGUCAUUGGAAACUGGGAAACUUGAGUGCAGAAGAGGAGAGUGGAAUUCCACGUGUAGCGGUGAAAUGCGUAGAGACGUGGAGGAACACCAGUGGCGAAGGCGACUCUCUGGUCUGUAACUGACGCUGAGGAGCGAAAGCGUGGGGAGCGAACAGGAUUAGAUACCCCGUAGUCCCUGUCUCUUAUACA
rnacentral:rRNA from 1 species